CACGGGGGGAGCAAGCGUUGUUCGGAUUCAUUGGGCGUAAAGGGCUCGUAGGUGGCUUUGUAAGUCGGAGGUGAAAUCCCACGGCUCAACCGUGGACACGCCUUCGAAACUGUGAAGCUUGAGGCUGGGAGAGGAAAUCGGAAUUCCUGGUGUAGCGGUGAAAUGCGUAGAUAUCGUAAGGAAGACCAGUGGCGAAGGCGGGUCUCUGGACAGUUCCUGACGCUGAGGCACGAAGGCCAGGGGAGCAAACGGG
rnacentral:rRNA from 1 species